rnacentral:rRNA from 1 species
CAGUAGCCGCGGUAAUACGAAGGGGGCUAGCGUUGCUCGGAAUUACUGGGCGUAAAGGGCGCGUAGGCGGCGCUCCAAGUUAGGCGUGAAAUUCCCGGGCUCAACCUGGGGACUGCGCUUAAGACUGGAGUGCUUGAGGAUGGAAGAGGGUUGUGGAAUUCCCAGUGUAGAGGUGAAAUUCGUAGAUAUUGGGAAGAACACCGGUGGCGAAGGCGGCAACCUGGUCCAUUACUGACGCUGAGGCGCGAUAGCGUGGGGAGCAAACAGGAUUAGAUACCCCAGUAGUCCCUGUCUCUUAUAC